CAGCCGCCACGGUAAUACGUAGGGUGCGAGCGUUAAUCGGAAUUACUGGGCGUAAAGCGUGCGCAGGCGGUUAUAUAAGACAGAUGUGAAAUCCCCGGGCUCAACCUGGGACCUGCAUUUGUGACUGUAUAGCUAGAGUACGGUAGAGGGGGAUGGAAUUCCGCGUGUAGCAGUGAAAUGCGUAGAUAUGCGGAGGAACACCGAUGGCGAAGGCAAUCCCCUGGACCUGUACUGACGCUCAUGUACGAACGCGUGGGGAGCAAAGAGGAUUAGAUACCCCAGUAGUCCCUGUCUCUUAUAC
rnacentral:rRNA from 1 species